GGGUGCACAAGAGGAGAGAAAAUGAGAUGUGAUAGAAAACUUCACAGUGAGACUUCAAGACUAUCUGCAGAGAAACUCAUCAGAAGGAGACCUGAAAGGUACUUUAAGUCAGGAGUUCAUGAGUUUUCAGUAUUCUGUGGGAGAAUCAAUCUACAGGAAGAGCAGUUCCUGUGCUCCACUAAUUGAACCUGCAUCCAGAUGUUUAAAAGCAGGGAAUGCUGUUUUGAAGGAAAGCCACAGAAGUUGGCUUAUGUGCUGUGGAGACAGUGUGGUCCUCUUCCAUUCCCAGAUUGUGGAAAGAAACCUCAAGUGGCCUGCAAGUUGGACGUGACUGGUCAUCGUAUUUCCUGCAUCAUCAGUCAGAAAAUGGCAUGCAGCUGUAUUUUCAGACUGAACCACACUGUGCGGGGACACAACUGGAGACACUGGCUAUUUUAUCAAGGCUUAAAUUGGAAUAACAUGCUUUCAGAUAUAAACAGACUGCUUGAAGGAAUCAAAGUUGACUUACAGAGCCAGUAGAAGCCCCUUGGGAGAACUGGUCUUAUACCUUAUUUACACAGUCCCUGUACAGAGUUCCUGACCUGUGUGACCCUAUGUCUGACUGGUUCUCAGAGCUAUUUGCCUGAAUCCCCUAGGGUUUCAAAUCAGUUCUACAAAGAAGACUGAAGAUCGGACUUACACUCCUGACAUUAAGACUCAUUAUCUUCUAGUCUGCUGUUCACUGAAGUGCUGUGCUAAAACUGUGGAUGAGAGUACUAACAUCAUUGUCAUGCAAGUCUUGAAACCCCAACCAGGCACCUGUGAAUACAUGCAGACAGCUGCAAAGUGGUUUCACUCCUCUUACCUUUAAGAAUAAUGUGUGAUGAAACCCAAGAGGGAAGAUUAAAACUGCCUUUGCAAAGAUUAUGACAGUGAGAAAAAUUUGACAUAGGAAAAGUAUGACAGUGAAGAAAUCUGACCUAAUCAGCGGAUCUUGCUUGUAACCGCCAAGCUGCCUUUGUCCAUUGCUGGGGGUAGCCUGAACCAACUUUGGAAGUAAUUGAGUUUAUAAUUUAACUUUGAAAAGAAGAAUGACAAAAGCCCAUUCUCCAAACAACCUCCCCUCUCCGCUUGCUUAGGGACCAGACUAUCUUUAUAAAACCAACACAUUAGCCACAAGAUUAGAAAUGAUGGCUUAGGAGUCAUGCAGCCAGAGGCCACAAGAAUUCAAACUCCUAAUUGCUCUUAUAGAUCACCACUAUUGUAAAACCUAGGAUUGAUGUUCGAGGUAUUUUUCACAUCCUGCAUUCUGAUAGAUCAGCUGGUGCCACCUAGACCAGUCAACUGGCUUAUCUGGUCUUGUGGUUCCCACCCAGGAACUGACUCAGCACCAGAGGACAGCACUGACUUCCUAUGAUUUCAUCCCCACUCUACCAUUCAGCAUUCCUCAUUUCCUAGCUCUCUGACUACCAAACUAUCUUAAAAAAAACCCUAGUCUUUGAAUUUUCAGGGAGGCUGGUUGGCAUAGUAAGAAAACUUCAGCAUCCCCUUUUAGCUGGCUCUACGUGUAUUAAACUCUUUAUUGCAAUUCCCUGUCUUGAUAAAUCAGCUCUGUUCAGGCAACAGGCAAGAUGAACCUGUCAGGAGGUUACAAAGAUAUAGAACUUACUCAAUAAUUGCCUUUUAAAUAAAGAAAAAAUGUUAAAUAUUUUCUAUCUAGUUUGUCUGAUUAUGAAUGCGAGGGGUCACAAUGAUAGCAAUUUAUUAUUAUUACUGCAAUUAAUCUUAGAGUUCCACAAAGAGGCUUCACCAAACAAUUUAAAAGGAAUUUAUUGCUAGAACAUUUUGCGGGUCAUGUUUAAAUGCACUUUCUGUUACUACACAACUGAGAGAUUGCUAUAUUGUCAAAGCCACUUGCUGUUCAUUUCUCUCUCAAAUCUCUUACUCAAACCCAGACUCAUCUCAUGCUGCUGGAGUUGGGUCAUGGGCAAAGCUCCAGCAAUGACGUUUUGAGCCACAGGUGGCCCCCUGGCUGAAUGUAAUACUUGCCUGGUUUAUUUUUUAGAGCCUGGCCUUAAGCAUUUCAUUCAAGGCCAUCAGUAUUAUUUUAUGUAAGUGAUUAACAUUUUUGGGGGGUACAGACUCUUUUUUGUUAGGGCUAACACAGCAUAAUCUUCUACUAGCCUAAAUUCCCAUUAGUAUCCACUGUUGCAUAAAGAAUGCUCAU